rfam:Pan troglodytes isolate Yerkes chimp pedigree #C0471 (Clint) chromosome 12, whole genome shotgun sequence.
AUGUGCGUCCCUCCCGAAGCUGCGCGCUCGGUCGAAGAGGACGACCAUCCCCGAUAGAGGAGG